rnacentral:rRNA from 1 species
AGAGUUUGAUCAUGGCUCAGAACGUACGCUGGCGGCACGCCUAACACAUGCAAGUCGAACGAAGUAGCAAUACUUAGUGGCAGACGGGUGAGUAACAUGUAGGUAUCUGCCCUUUGGCCUGGAAUAACACGAGGAAACUUGUGCUAAUACCGGAUAAGUCUUUACGGAGAAAGCUUUAUGCACCAUUGGAUGAGCCUGCACUUGAUUAGUUUGUUGGUGGGGUAAUGGCCUACCAAGACUGUGAUCAAUAGCUGAUUUGAGAGGAUGAUCAGCCACAUUGGGACUGAGACACGGCCCAAACUCCUACGGGAGGCAGCAGUGGGGAAUCUUGCACAAUGGAGGAAACUCUGAUGCAGCGAUGCCGCGUGAGUGAAGAAGGCCCUUGGGUUGUAAAGCUCUUUCGUCGGGGAAGAAAAUGACUGUACCCGAAUAAGAAGGUCCGGCUAACUUCGUGCCAGCAGCCGCGGUAAUACGAAGGGACCUAGCGUAGUUCGGAAUUACUGGGCUUAAAGAGUUCGUAGGUGGUUGAAAUAGUUGGUGGUGAAAUCCCAGAGCUUAACUCUGGAACUGCCAUCAAAACUUUUCAGCUAGAGUAUGAUAGAGGAAAGCAGAAUUUCUAGUGUAGAGGUGAAAUUCGUAGAUAUUAGAAAGAAUACCAAUUGCGAAGGCAGCUUUCUGGAUCAUUACUGACACUGAGGAACGAAAGCAUGGGUAGCGAAGAGGAUUAGAUACCCUCGUAGUCCAUGCCGUAAACGAUGUGUGUUAGACGUUGGAAAUUUAUUUUCAGUGUCGCAGGGAAACCGAUAAACACACCGCCUGGGGAGUACGACCGCAAGGUUAAAACUCAAAUGAAUUGACGGGGACCCGCACAAGUAGUGGAGCAUGUGGUUUAAUUCGAAGAUACGCGCAGAACCUUACCAACACUUGACAUGUUCGUCGCGACUCUAAGAGAUUGGAGUUUUCGGUUCGGCCGGACGAAACACAGGUGCUGCAUGGCUGUCGUCAGCUCGUGUCGUGAGAUGUUGGGUUAAGUCCCGCAACGAGCGCAACCCUCACUUUUAGUUGCCAUCAUUAAGUUGGGCACUCUGAAAGAACUGCCAGUGAUAAGCUGGAGGAAGGUGGGGAUGACGUCAAGUCCUCAUGGCCCUUACGUGUUGGGCUACACACGUGCUACAAUGGUAUCUACAACAGGAAGCAAGACUGCGAAGUUAAGCAAAUCCUUAAAAGAUACCUCAGUUCGGAUUGCACUCUGCAACUCGAGUGCAUGAAGCUGGAAUUACUAGUAAUCGUGGAUCAGCGUGCCACGGUGAAUGCGUUCCCGGGUCUUGUACACACCGCCCGUCACACCAUGGGAGUUGGUUCUACCUUAAGGCAAGGUUUUAAACCCUUGACCACGGUAUAGUCAG